GUCACAGAAAAUAUUAUAGGAAAAAAAGUUUCAAACUCAUAUUUGGAAAAAGAAAAAAAAAAGAAAAAGAAAGAGUUGCAACUCUUUUUUCUUUUUAGUUUUAUCACCCAUAAGAAAACGGACUGUGCUGUGACUGUCCUGUGUAGGAGAGGAAAGAAGAAGAAGAAAGGAGCAAAGCCGAGCAGUAGGAUCCGCCCUCUCCAAUCGCAAUUUCUUCUAUCAGAAUCUGGAACAUACUUCUCAUCCGUUUCCUCUCAAUUCCCAAUUUCAAAACAUUACGCGAUUUCUUCCCAACGAAUGCAACUUUAUCCCAAUUCAGCUCUCCAUCGCAUGUUCGGCGCAUCAAUUUUGUGCUCAAAGUAA